UCAUUUCUUUUACGAUAAGACUUUAGGGUCUUAUCAUUUGGUAUCAGAGCGACGAUAAGACUUUAGGGUCAUAUCAUUUGGUAUCAGAGCAUCCCCAUUUCUCCCCUUUCUUCCGUGAUAAGACUUUAGGGUCUUAUCAUUUGGUAUCAGAGCAGCGAUCCUUAUUGUUUCACUAUUCUCGCUACAGUUAUCAUCAUCUCAAAAAAAAAAAAGAACGCAGAAAAAAAAAAAGGAAAGAGAUCGUGUGAGAAAGGGUGAAGCCGGUGGCAACCGACCACCACUACCUUCUCAAUCGAGAAGGAAACUCUGCUUCCGGCCACCGACCACCAUUGCCUUCUCCACCACCACCGCUGCCAGUCACCGCAAUCUUCUCUUCAUUGAUCCCAGCCCUCAGCGAGGCAACCACCGCUGUUGCCUCCUUCUCCACUGCUACCCGCUCCCCUUGGGUCGCAGCCGCAGUCGCUCGACCUCCCGUCCUCG
rnacentral:lncRNA from 1 species